rnacentral:lncRNA from 1 species
ACUUGUUUAUUCACUUACACACUCAUUCUUUUUUUCCCCAUUUAUUCAUGAGUAAGCAUGUAUUAAGCACCAAUUUCUGGGACCAGAUAUAAAAAGUAAAACAAAUUACUGGCAACAAAUUGUACCAAGUUGCUAGUACCUAGAUUGGUGGGAAUCAUGAUAAUCACACAAUAGAGGAUAACUUUUUAAAAAGAAAUUUGCCAAACAGUGUCUAUGAACCACUUUUCAUCAAAUACAUGUUUGUAAAUACACAUUAGUAUCAAUACAAAUAGAGGUUUGACAGGACUUGAUUCAUUUUGUCAAGUUUUAAAAUUUUACAUUUCAUUUAGAAAGAGACUGCUUCUAACACAGUGUCUGCUGAGAAUACUUUAAGCACCAAAUAUCAUUACCCAUGUACAGACCCCUAAAAAUACCAAUUGAAAUUUUCUAAGCAGUGAAAUAUUGGGGGCUUUUCUUUUUAUUCUGAUGAGCAUCCUAAAACCCUUUGGAAUUGAAUGGUGCUAUUUUCAGAAGACCAUAUAUAAGUGCCUUUUCACCUUUGCCAUAAUAUUUUUAAAGCAUUUUGGUAUUUGUUUCUUUUUUUCUACUGAAGUCUUCCCAAAGUCUUGGCUGCCUGAUCAACUCACUCUACAUUUCAGAUACAUAAGCCAAUAGCCCUGCUGCCCAAAUUCUCUUAUCUGUCCAGCAUACAUAAAUACGUAGCUCUCAUUAAAGGCUUCAUUGCAACCUCAUUUGUUAAUAUGAAUCAUUAAGAAAAGGAGCCACUCUGUUCUCAAAAACAGUUCCACCUGACAGCUCUAGGAAAAUUAGAAAGCAUUAGCCAAAAUAAAUUUAGGAAGGGCAGAGACUUUAUAAGUGUUGCCUUCUUUAUUUCCUAAGCCAUAAAUCUAUGACAAGUGUCUACUUGAUGUUUGAUUUGUAUGGCACUGAAAAACUUCAACUGUUGUUUUCAUCAACAGUUUUUUAUUCCUUCCAAUACAUUCUGGUGGUAAUGAAAGAAAUUCAAUCAAAUUAUCUUUACAUUGUUCUUCAGAAUUAACAAAAGUCUGGCAACUCCAUAUCUUUCCUUUUAUUCCUUUUUUUCCCCUUAUCUUUAUCCACCUCAGGAAUGUUAGAAUCCUCUAAAGUUUGUUUGUUUUAAAUUUACAAGUGAUUUAUUACCCUAUCUCUUCCAAGUGAAUUGCAUCUUACACUCCAUUCAUGAGUUUUGUGAUGAUAAUCAAGUGUCAUUGACCAGAUGGCCAAUGCCUGCUCCUUGUGGCCAUUUUAGCACCUCCACCACCUCCACUCCUACGCUUAUAUGACCAUAGACUUUCAUUUUUUGUCCUUAAGCAACAUGGUGUCAAAAUAGGCUCUUGGUAGAUCCAAUCAAUCAAUCAAUCAAUCAAUCAAUAAAUUGGUUUCAGUGACCAGGCAAUUGAAUAUUUAAUUCUUUAGCAUCUCACUUUUGUGCCCUUGAGUUUAUAUAUUUGCCCAGAUCUUGGAACUGUGACUUCAAGCAGUCUCUUGACUCUCACAAGGUACAGCUCUAAAUUGGGUUGUCAUUUGACUUAUCUAAAAUGAUGGCUAUUCUCUAAGAGAAAAAAAAAUCAGCCUUUAAAUACGUUGAUGGGAGUUCCUGUUGUGGCUCAGCUGUAACAAACCCAACUAGUAACUAUAAGUAUGUGGGUUUGAUCCCUGGGUUCGCUCAGUGAGUUAAGGAUCCCGUGUUGCCGUAAAACUGUGGUGUGGGUUGCAGAUGCAGCUGGGAUCUGGUGCUACUCUGGCUGUAGCCUGUGGCUUAGGUCAGCAGCUGCAGCUCAGAUUUGACCCCUAGCCUGGCAACUUCCAUGUGCCAUAGGCGCAGCCCUAAAAAAGCCAAAAAAAAAAAAAAAAAAAAAAGAAGUAAAUAAAUCUAGCUUUAAAAUAAAAAAUUGAAUCAUUUAUUCAAUUAAUGAAUGUAAUUCAGAAUACCUAAUUAUGUUCUUAUGUCAUCUGAGUCAACAUGUUUAAAGAGAGAAAGAAGAAUAGUUUUGAAUCUAACUGUAUGGAAACUAUGUUCUUACUUUAUUUUUUAACCUUUUAACUUUGAUGUAGGCCUAUUAUGUUUCUCCAUAAAAACAGGAUCUGCUUUAACUGUUACAUUUUAGCAUGUCUUAAUGAGCUCCAUGCAGCUGUUAUAAGAACUGGAGGGCUUGGAAAGCCAAAUCUUUGACUCCUCACUUGCAUAACUUCCUGCCAGAAAAUCUUUCUUCCCAUGAAAACAUAAUUUGAAAUGCUGGUUACUGCUCAAGUCAAGUUUGUCUAGGAACUCAUUAGGUGAAGGAAAUUUGUGACAACAGCUGAAAGAAUAAAAAAUAUGGAAAAAAACCCCAGUAGCUUAGAAAUAAGUAAAACUAAUGAUUAUACAAUAUCAGCUUUAUUUUUAAAAGUAAAGGAUUAUUAUUCCAUGUUAAAUGUGGUUGCCAUUCUCUGUGAAAGUAUUGAAAAUUCUAACAUUUUAAAUUUGUUUUUAUUCUCCUUAUUUUAUUUCCAAGUCAAAAGCCUGAAGAAAGCCUUUAAGGCAAAGCAAGCAUAGAAUUUACCUUACAGAUAAUUACUGCAGAUAAGAGACAAAAAUUGGAUUCUUUUUUUCUUUUUUAGGGCCGUACCCUCGGCAUUUGGAGGUUCCUGAAACAUGGGCUGAAUCAGAGCAGUGCCAGCCUUCACCACAGUCACAGCAACUC